rnacentral:rRNA from 1 species
AUGAACGCUAGCGGCAGGCUUAACACAUGCAAGUCGAGGGGCAUCGGGAGUAGCAAUACUUGCCGGCGACCGGCGCAAGGGUGCGUAACGCGUGAGCAACAUGCCCGUAUCAGGGGGAUAAUCCAUGGAAACGUGGUCUAAUACCCCAUAGUAAUUAUGUAAGGCAUCUUAUAUAAUUUAAAGCUUUGGUGGAUACGGAUUGGCUCGCGUGACAUUAGCUAGAUGGUAAGGUAACGGCUUACCAUGGCUACGAUGUCUAGGGGUUCUGAGAGGAAGGUCCCCCACACUGGAACUGAGACACGGUCCAGACUCCUACGGGAGGCAGCAGUGAGGAAUAUUGGACAAUGGAUGGAAAUCUGAUCCAGCCAUGCCGCGUGCAGGAAGAACCGGCCCUAUGGGUUGUAAACUGCUUUUGUAUGGGAGCAAUAAGGGCUACGCGUAGUCCGAUGAGAGUACCAUACGAAUAAGCACCGGCUAACUCCGUGCCAGCAGCAGC